rnacentral:rRNA from 1 species
ACCCGCUGAACUUAAGCAUAUCAAUAAGCGGAGGAAAAGAAACCAACAGGGAUUGCCUCAGUAACGGCGAGUGAAGCGGCAAGAGCUCAAAUUUGAAAUCUGGCACCUUCGGUGUUCGAGUUGUAAUUUGAAGAGGAGUCUUCGGUUUGGGUCGUGGCCUAUGUUCCUUGGAACAGGACGUCGUAGAGGGUGAGAAUCCCGUACACGGCUGACGAUCUCUUACCAUGUGAAGUUCCUUCGAAGAGUCGAGUUGUUUGGGAAUGCAGCUCUAAAUGGGUGGUAAAUUUCAUCUAAAGCUAAAUACCGGCGAGAGACCGAUAGCGCACAAGUAGAGUGAUCGAAAGAUGAAAAGCACUUUGAAAAGAGAGUUAAACAGUACGUGAAAUUGUUGAAAGGGAAGCGCUUGCAAUCAGACUUGCCUUUGGUCGAUCAACGUUCCUUCUGGUUCGUGCACUCGGCCUUUGGCAGGCCAGCAUCGGUUCGGACGGUGGGAUAAAGGCUUUGGGAAUGUGGCUCUCUUCGGGGAGUGUUAUAGCCCAAGGUGCAAUGCCGCCUGACUGGACCGAGGACCGCGCUUCGGCUAGGAUGCUGGCGUAAUGGUUGUAAGCGACCCGUCUUGAAACACGG